rnacentral:misc_RNA from 1 species
GCGCAAAGAAGCAUUAUCUUUUUCUACAGAUUCCAGCCGCGUCAUCAAGGCACUGAAAUCUGCUUCUGCCCGAGCUAUUUCUCCUUUUAAAUGACCUGUUGCCUUCUCCUUUGCCAUGAGAGCCAUACUAAGCUGAGUGUUUUCGGAACCUAAUCGUGAAAGCUUCUGCGCAGCAUCUGCUAACUUCUUCUCUAAGAGAACCCUUGUUUUUUCAAAUUCUUUUGAUGUGUUUGAUACUGCAUCAUGAAUCCUAUUUUCCUGCUCAUCUCGA